GGCGAAUGAAGCGGGAAAAGCUCAAGUUUGAAAUCUGAUGGGCUCAGAGUUGUAAGCUGAAGAGGCGUUGACCGACUUGUCCGCCCAAUUUCCUUGGAACAGGAAGUCAUGGAGGGUGAGAACCCCGUCUGUGCUCGGAGUCUGUCUGUGUCAUGUCCUCGAAGAGUCGGGUUGUUUGGGAAUGCAGCUCAAAAUGGGUGGUAAGUUCCACUAAGGCUAAAUAUUGGCGAGAGACCGAUAGCAAACAAGUAGAGUGAUCGAAAGAUGAAAAGUACUUUGAAAAGAGAGUGAAACAGUACGUGAAAUUGUUGAAAGGAAGCGUUUGCAUCAGCCCAUGAUGUUCAUCGACAUUCAGGCUCUGCCUUGCACUUGAUGAUGUCGGGCCAGCGUCGGUUUGCCCGCCGAGAAGUCCUAGGGGAUGUGGCUCCUUGGGAGCGUAUAACCCUUGGCGUCAUGCGGUGUGGUGGGGCCGAGGUCCGCGGUUUACCAGGACGCUGGCGUAAUGGUUCCAAGCGACCCGUCUUGAAACACGGACCAAGGAGUCUAACAUCUAUGCGAGUGUUUGGGUGUCAAGCCCGUCCGCGCAAUGAAAGUGAAUGCAGGCGGGAGCUUUGGUGCACCGCCGACCGGUCCAGGGGACCGAAGGAUCUGAGUAAGAGCAUAGCUGUUGGGACCCGAAAGAUGGUGAACUAUGCCUGAAUA
rnacentral:rRNA from 1 species